GAUGAACGCUGACAGAAUGCUUAACACAUGCAAGUCGAUGGGGAAGUGGUGCUUGCACCAUGGCUACCAUGGCGGACGGGUGAGUAACGCGUAAGGGACUUACCUGCAGGACUGGGUUAACAGGGGGAAACGCCUGACAAGACCGGAUAAUGUCAUGGAGCUGCAUGGCUUUAUGAUGAAAGGAGACGCCUGCGGAGAGCCUUGCGUCCUAUUAGAUAGUUGGUGAGGUAAUGGCUCACCAGGGCGAAGAUAGGAAGCCGGCCUGAGCGGGUGGACGGCCACAAGUGGACUGAGAGACGGCAGUUACGAAUACGGGAGGAAGCGGGGGAGAAUAUUGGACAAAGGGGGCGUCCCUGAUCCAGCAAUUCUGUGUGUACGAAGAAGGUUUUCGGAUUGAAAAGUGGUUUCAGAAGGGAAGGAGUAAGUGACGGUACCUGCAGAAGAAGCGACGGCUAACUACGUG
rnacentral:rRNA from 1 species